AAAAAGAAAUUUGUUGAGAUGAAAGGAAUGAACUGCAUAGAAAAAGCAAGAUAAAGAGUCCUAUUAAGAAAACAAAACAGAAAACAACAAUGAAAAACCAAUUGACAUUAAGCAAAGUUACUCAGUAGAUCUAAAAGUUGCAGUCUAAGUGUCAAGGUAUGAAGAUGAAUUAUAGGCUUUGAUACCAUACCAUAUUUCACCAUCAAACCAAUUGAUAUUAGGUAAAGUUUUCCAACAAAUAGAUAUAAAUCGCACUCCCAGAUUUGAGACCUGCUAUAUAAGACUUUCCAACAAAAUCUAAGUGAUAAAGGUUCCACUUGAAAAAGAGAAUGAUUUUAUUAUUUUCAUUCAUAUCAAUUACAUUCUCCUUACCUCUAUUUGUAACAAUUUAAUCUUCUAAAAAAGGGAAAUAAGGAAACAAUGUACUACAAAAUAAUCUAGAAGAUCAUACACCUAUUUUAUCUAAUUAGGAAGACUCUAUAGAUAUUUUCUCUAAUUAAGAAGAUUCUAUAGAUAUUUCCUUUAAUUACAACACUUCCUUUCAAGUUGGUAAAUGAAUAUCAAUCAUUCCCAACUUGUCCACAAGAUCUUGAAAUCUACCCGGAGGGAGUCCUUUUGUAAAAAUAUAUGCUAUCUGAAGUUCUAUAGGAACAUGAGCUGUAAUCACAAAGCCUCUGUCUAGAUUAUUUUUGAUGAAAUGUCUGUCAAUUUCAAUGUGUUUGAUCUUGUCAUGUUGUAUUGAAUUAUGGGCUAUGUUCAUGGUAGACUUAUUGUCACAAGUUGAGAAAAAUGUUACUGAACAAUUUAAAUCCUUUGAGAUUUUUGCUCAUAGAUAAGACUAUUAACUAAUUGUGGAACAUGUAAGAUAUCCUUUAAUGCAAUAGAUGAGUCCAAAAUUAUAUUUUGAGAGUCGCAUAUAGGUAUACUCUGACCAUUCACAACUGUAAUAAGUUGUUCUUUAUUUCUUUUACCAUGAGUCGAAGGACACACGAAAAGGUGUCAUGAUCGCUUACAUUCAUAUCAAUUACAUUCUCUAUUUCUGAUACCAACUUGAAAAAGAAAAUGAUUUUAUUAUUUUCGUUCAUAUCAAUUACAUUCUCCUUACCUCUAUUUGUAGCAAUCUAAUAUUCUAAAAAGGGAAAUAAGGAAACAAUAUACUAAAAAAUAAUCUAGAAGAUCAUACACCUAUUUUCUCUAAUUAGGAAGAUUUUAUAGAUAUUUUCUCUAAUUAAGAAAGUUCUAUAGAUAUUUCCUUUAAUUACAACAGUUCCUAAUAUCUGAAGAUCUGUUUAUAUUUUUUUAAUUAAAAAUAGAUUGCAAAAUCACACCUAUCAAAGUGACAUGCCAAAGAAGCUUCCAAAACUAGAAUUCUGCUCCAAACAAAUGCUUGAAAUUGUAGCAAAUAUGGCAGUUUGCCAGG
rnacentral:lncRNA from 1 species